GACGAACCGAGCGAACGUUGUUCGGAAUCACUGGGCUUAAAGGGCGCGUAGGCGGGUUCUCAAGUCCGGGGUGAAAUCCCACAGCUCAACUGUGGAACUGCCUCGGAUACUGGGAGUCUAGAGGGUGGCAGGGGUAUGCGGAACUAUCGGUGGAGCGGUGAAAUGCGUUGAUAUCGAUAGGAACUCCGGUGGCGAAGGCGGCAUACUGGUCCACUUCUGACGCUGAGGCGCGAAAGCCAGGGGAGCAAACGGG
rnacentral:rRNA from 1 species